AAUCUAUCAAAAUAUGAGUUUGAUAUAGUGUUUUCUUUAGGCUUUGUGUUAUUUGGAGCUUGUAAAGAUUCUCCAAACACCAAGUAUUAUUUGGGUAAAUUUUUGGUAAUGCAUUACAUGGUGGUGUCUAGGAGACCUAGUGCUUAAUAUCCGCGCAGCCAAGGUUCUGCGGAUAUAGAUAUUGACUCGUCCACCCAGCGUUUGGGAUGCUAUGAUUGGAGCAUAUCGCGACAGUCAUAAGUCGCGGACUCAAGGGUAAUCCGUAUUUUGGGUAUUUUAUUUAUGGCUCAUGUCCUACGUGGCAUCCGUAUUUGUUGAGCUUGUAUUUUAGUAUGUAAUUAGUGUAAUAUGUUUUAUAAGCUUUAAAUAGAUAGAUUGGUAAAUGGCUCUUGUUGUAAUUAACUGUUAUGUAUUAGAUGUAUUUUCGUUUAUAAUAUGUUUUCCGUUGCACAUUGAUUAUUA